GGGUGAGUAACGCGUGGGCAACCUGCCUUGCACAGGGGGAUAGCAGUUGGAAACGACUGGUAAUACCGCAUACCUUGGAGAGACCGCAUGAUCACUUCAAGAAAACAAUAGUGGUGCAAGAUGGGCCCGCGUCCGAUUAGAUAGUUGGUGGGGUAACGGCCUACCAAGUCGACGAUCGGUAGCCGACCUAAGAGGGCGGACGGCCACAUUGGGACUGAGACACGGCCCAGACUCC
rnacentral:rRNA from 1 species